UACAGAGGUCCCAAGCGUUGUUCGGAUUCACUGGGCGUAAAGGGUGCGUAGGCGGUUUGGUAAGUCGGGUGUGAAAUCUCCACGCUCAACGUGGAGGGGCCACUCGAUACUGCCAUGACUCGAGUCCGGUAGAGGAGUGUGGAAUUCCCGGUGUAGCGGUGAAAUGCGCAGAUAUCGGGAGGAACACCCGUAGCGAAGGCGGCACUCUGGGCCGGAACUGACGCUGAGGAGCGAAAGCGUGGGGAGCGAACAGG
rnacentral:rRNA from 1 species